rnacentral:rRNA from 1 species
GACGAACGCUGGCGGCGUGCUUAACACAUGCCAGUCGAACGGAAAGGCCCUGCUUUUGUUGGGUGCUCGAGUGGCGAACGGGUGAGUAACACGUGAGUAACCUGCCCUUGACUUUGGGAUAACUUCAGGAAACUGGGGCUAAUACCGGAUAGGAGCUCCUGCUGCAUGGUGGGGGUUGGAGAGUUUCGGCGGUUGGGGAUGGACUCGGGGCUUAUCAGCUUGUUGGUGGGGUAGUGGCUUACCAAGGCUUUGACGGGUCGCCGGCCUGAGAGGGUGACCGGCCACAUUGGGACUGGGAUACGGCCCAGACUCCUACGGGAGGCAGCAGUGGGGAAUAUUGCACAAUGGGCGGAAGCCGGAUGAAGGAACGCCGCGUGCGGGAUGACGGCCUUCGGGUGGUAAACCGCUUUGGCCUGUGACGAAGGGUGAGUGACGGUAAUGGGUAAAGAAGCACCGGCUAACUACGUG